CCUACGGGUGACAGCAGUAGGGAAUCUUCCACAAUGGGCGAAAGCCUGAUGCAGCAACGCCGCGUGGGUGAAGAAGGUCUUCGGAACGUAAAACCCUGUUGUUAGAGAAGAAAGUGCGUGAGCGUAACUGUUCACGUUUCGACGGUAUCUAACCAGAAACCCACGGCUAACUACGUGCCAGCAGCCGCGGGAAUACGUAGGUGGCAAGCGUUAUCCGGAUGUAUUGGGCGUAAGGGGAACGCAGGCGGUCUUUUAAGUCUGAUGUGAAAGCCGUCGGCUUAACCGGAGUAGUGCAUUGGAAACUGGGAGACUUGAGUGCAGGAGAGGAGAGUGGAACUCCAUGUGUAGCGGUGAAAUGCGUAGAUAUAUGGAAGAACACCAGUGGCGAAGGCGGCUCUCUGGUCUGUAACUGACGCUGAGGUUCGAAAGCGUGGGUAGCAAACAGGAUUAGAUACCCUAGUAGUC
rnacentral:rRNA from 1 species